rnacentral:lncRNA from 1 species
UACAUAUCAAAGUUCAGCAGACAGGCAUCCAGCUGGAGAAAGGGAAACAUCUCAGUUUACCAUCUAAGGCGGCAACAAAGAAAUUUACCGAGAGAAUAGAGGACAACAAGGCAACAAGAACUACAAGAACAAGUUUGAAAAUAUAGAGAGGACUUUUGUAAUCCAUAGAUCAUAGUCUAGUUUAGCUUCUUGUUUUAUUUUGACAUGGUGUAAUAAGAGGGGUUCAGUAAGUGGUAGCAGCAACAGCAACAGUGAAAUCACAGCUUCAUGGUAGUCCCAGCUACUAAAACUUCUCGAACUAUACUGACCUGAUUCCUUUUAAGCCAAGGUUAUGUAGGCAACCUCGGAAGUAGGGUGCAAUCAAAUCUUUCAAUAAUGCUUUCCACGGAGUAUUCAAACUAGCAAAAAUCACCCGUAUCCGAUCACUUUAUCUUUGCACGAAAACUCUUCGUGUUUCUGAGCAAAGAGGGGCAGCUGUGAGCACGUAAUUUUUGCCCUAUAUGAAUUACUCCCAUAAAUUCAAAACAAAAAUGAAUUUUUCUCAUUAUUUGCAAAUUCAUAGAUUUUUGUAGUAUUGUUUGCAUUUGUCCGUGCAUGUUUAAUUUUGUUUAAUUCAUGAAAAUACAAAAAAACACAUGGAAUUUUCAUUUAGGAUCUAAUUUUGCACUUUUGUGUUAAUUUGUAAUUUAGUUGUUUACAAAAAUAGAAAAAUCACAAAAACCCCAUUUUUGCACUUAGCUUCGAAUCUUGUAGUUUUCUUUAAUUUGGUAAUUAAUUAGUUGUAGUGAAUAUUAUUUUUGAGUAAAUAAUCUAAUUUGGUUUGGGAUUUAAUUUAGGUUUUAUUUUUAAUUUUAAUUUUGGAAAGAAAAGAAAAACUUGAAAUUGGAAAAGAGAAGAUAUUUUGAAAUAAAAGGAUUUGAGCUUUGGGCUCAUCAAUUGAUCUUCCCCCCUCCCCCCCAGGCCCAAACACCUUUCUCCUAAAAUCUGCUCAAACCCAGCCCAAACCAAACGCCCCAACCCGUCUGCCCCCCAAACCCUGACCCGUCACUGACCCGCCCCAUUAUCUCUAACAUAAUAGACACCUUACUAGCAAAACCUAAGUUCCCAAAAGCAGCGCCCUUGUUCAUCUUCUUCUUCAUCUCAGCCACGUUCGACUCGCCAAAUCUCAANNNNNNNNNNNNNNNNNNNNNNNNNNNNNNNNNNNNNNNNNNNNNNNNNNNNNNNNNNNNNNNNNNNNNNNNNNNNNNNNNNNNNNNNNNNNNNNNNNNNNNNNNNNNNNNNNNNNNNNNNNNNNNNNNNNNNNNNNNNNNNNNNNNNNNNNNNNNNNNNNNNNNNNNNNNNNNNNNNNNNNNNNNNNNNNNNNNNNNNNNNNNNNNNNNNNNNNNNNNNNNNNNNNNNNNNNNNNNNNNNNNNNNNNNNNNNNNNNNNNNNNNNNNNNNNNNNNNNNNNNNNNNNNNNNNNNNNNNNNNNNNNNNNNNNNNNNNNNNNNNNNNNNNNNNNNNNNNNNNNNNNNNNNNNNNNNNNNNNNNNNNNNNNNNNNNNNNNNNNNNNNNNNNNNNNNNNNNNNNNNNNNNNNNNNNNNNNNNNNNNNNNNNNNNNNNNNNNNNNNNNNNNNNNNNNNNNNNNNNNNNNNNNNNNNNNNNNNNNNNNNNNNNNNNNNNNNNNNNNNNNNNNNNNNNNNNNNNNNNNNNNNNNNNNNNNNNNNNNNNNNNNNNNNNNNNNNNNNNNNNNNNNNNNNNNNNNNNNNNNNNNNNNNNNNNNNNNNNNNNNNNNNNNNNNNNNNNNNNNNNNNNNNNNNNNNNNNNNNNNNNNNNNNNNNNNNNNNNNNNNNNNNNNNNNNNNNNNNNNNNNNNNNNNNNNNNNNNNNNNNNNNNNNNNNNNNNNNNNNNNNNNNNNNNNNNNNNNNNNNNNNNNNNNNNNNNNNNNNNNNNNNNNNNNNNNNNNNNNNNNNNNNNNNNNNNNNNNNNNNNNNNNNNNNNNNNNNNNNNNNNNNNNNNNNNNNNNNNNNNNNNNNNNNNNNNNNNNNNNNNNNNNNNNNNNNNNNNNNNNNNNNNNNNNNNAAAAGAAANAAANAUAUAUAUAUAUAUAUAUAUAUAUAUAUAUAUAUACAAUCUGAGUUCGAUUUCAUUCAGGUUUUUACAGCAUUUCAAGGUUCAUCAACAAAAAUCACCAAAAAUAGAUUUCGUUUUUUUGCAUUUCAUCUUUUUCCUGAUUUCUGGUCCUCAACAAUGGAGUUUGAUUAAAGUUUGCGUUGGAAUUUGCAUUUAAGUUCUAAAUCUCGGUAUCGUUUCAAAUAUCUGUCUGAGCUUUUGAUUUCUACUUGUUUUUGUUGCUGAUUGCUGGUGUUAGCUAUUGGAUUUCACUUGUAUUAAACAUUCGAGCAAAGUUAAUCGGAAGUGUUUAUUGAUUCCAAGUUCAUUUCUUCUUCAUUAUUAUUUGUUUUUCCGUGAUUCUGUGUCGUGUGCUCAUGUUCCGUUAUGUUUUUGGUCUAAGACUACCUGAAAGUCAGUGUUUGUUGUUCAGAUUAAAGGCUGAAUUCUUUUGGCCUUGAUUCAGGUCUGUUUCUGUUUUUGUGUUUAUUCUAUAUUGAACGAGCGAUUGUAUGCACUGAUAUAAUGGUUGCAGUUGUAUAAAUUCGCACACCUGUUUGUUAAAUUUGAGCAUUUAAACAAAUUCAUAAAACCUUAAGGGUGGAAGCCUUCUUGUUUGAUCAUUUCUGCUGGUUUAGCUGCAGUUUAAAUGCUACAAGAUUGUUGGGCUUGGUUCCCUUGUGAAUUAGUGGAUCGACAUGCAUUUAGCUUAACCUAUAAGGCCAUAGAGAUUAAUGUUCAUGUUUCCAGCAGUCAUUUCUGUCCUUAGGCUUCUUGAAUAGAAUCAGACAUGAAAAUUGUGAAGUAUUAUGGCUGCCUAGUAGCUAUCAAAGUUGGUAUAUGUGGGAAUGAGUUUUGGAAAAGAAUUCUUGUUUGUGUGUGGAGUUUAAACUUGCAAUAAGCCAUGAGACUCCUUCUAAUCACUGUCCAUUUGAUGGUCAAUUAGUUCGGCAACUUAGGGAUAUUCAUUGAACUUCGAUUUGUUUGGUUUUCACUUUUAUGCUUGGGGCGUAACUAACUGCAUAUCAUCUGAGCAAGUUGUCAAUAAGCGGCGCGUUCAUGUGUUCGUAUCUUAAGUAUUCUGGACUGUAUCUGUUGUUUUUUUUGUUCGAAUUCAAUCUUCGUUGGCCGCGCAAUCUCGUCUGUUGUAGGUGCUGGAGUAUUUUGGCCUCUGAAAUCUUUUGAGCCAGGUAGUUUGAGCUAUGAGGGGCACUGUAUUGUCAUUAUUUCGUUGAUUCUGUGUAACUAGGCCUACCAGUUCUUCUUCACCUCUAUUUGGUCCACUUCUUAUUUGUUUCGCUGUUGUCCGAAAUGUGUUUGCAGUUUAAAUGACUACUGCAGGAGAUUUUACUGCUAUGGAAUCUGCAUAUAUGUAUUCACUUCAAUACUCUGCCAAAGGAAUUGUGAACCAUUAUCGUGCUUUCUCUGAGUUGGUUGCGAGUCUUGUAAUUCCUUUGUUGAUGUAAGUUCACAACCAGUGUUAAGAACCUUGUGUGCUAUUUUGUGUCAUCUAUUAGAGUUAUCUGUUUAGUUAAUUAGGAUAUAAAUCAGUACAAAUUCGUGAUAGUUUCAGCUCAACUGAACUAUUUGUUUAGUUAAAUUUAUUCAAUUGCUGUUUUAUUCCUUUCCGAUAAAUUUUGUUCUUGAAACACGUUAACAUCUUCGAUGAGGCUGUAAUUUGAUUCGAUCUUUAGAUUUUUGUUUUUCUCUUUGAUGAAUGAUUCAACCUGUGUUUGCAAAACAUGAACUGAGGUCUUGAACAAUUCGUUCCAUUUGUCUGUAUCGGAAGAACUCUUUUUGUUUCUUUAAGCUUCGCCAUUGCAGCUGGAAGAAAUCGAUAGAGCUUAACAUCUUGAUUUUAACCACUAGUUAGUUUGGUUUUUGUUGUUGUGAUUCUGUGAUAAACUCAGCAUGUUAGCAGGCUAAAUGUGAAUAUCACUGUUUGGUAUUAUCGGUGUAGUUAAGUGAUAUCCUUUACUCAAUUGUGAUUAUCGAGUGCCUAGUUCCGUGUCCUCGCUAAGAAUGAAUAGCAUAAGUUAAUAAAACAUGUAUCCAUUGUAUAAGUCUGUUUGAUUAGCUCCUGAUGCAUUGGUUUGGCUUUUCAUUAGUUCAUGUAGUCUAAAUCUAAGGCUCUUGACCUUUCCCACAUAAUUCUUAGAAUUCGAGGUGUGUCAUUUAGCAAAAUUCCAUGGCCCUCGCAAAGUUGCAAACGCGCAGUUGCUUUAGGCGCGUUGUUUUAAUAAUAUUACCUUCCUAAAUUCGGGUGCGCAUUUAUGUGACCCAAAUCCAAAUCUCAACAAUGUUGAAAUAUGUUGAAAGCCACGGGUGCAUUUAUGUGACGUGGUUCGAGGCAUAUUUUAAUAACAUUGAAAUCUUCUUUGAUUAAUUAAAUAAAAGCGGUUAAAAAGUUAAGUUUGCACAUAGGUUCGUAAUUAUUUAGAAUCAGAUAAUUAAGCUGAGUAUAAUGGUUAAGCGACCGUGCUAGAACCACGGAACUCGGGAGUUCCUAACACCUUCUCCCGGGUUAACAAAAUUCCUUACCCAAAUUUCUGGUUCGCAGUCUGUUAAACAGAGUCAACCUUUUCCUCAACUCGGAAUUUGAACCGGUGACUUGGGACACCAUAAAUCUCCCAGGUGGCGACUCUGAAUCUUUUAAAAUAAAUCUCGUUUCGAUUGUCCUUUAAUUGGAAAAACUCCUUUAUACACCUUCUCGGGUGGUGUAGUAAAAAAAGGAGGUGUGACAAUGCCGCCCCUCUGAGUCUUCUAAAAAUGGUGCAUACGCUCGCGUAGCCCGCUUUUUCUGUAGAAAUUAUACCAAAUAGAGCGAGGUUGGGCAAGCGACAAGGCCGGGCAGACUUUAGUGCUCCCGGUACGUCGCCCUCUCCUCGGCCCCAGUUUUCCGCUCGGGUACCCCAAGUCUAGACCAAAACCCCAGGAUUUAAACCUAGAAAAACACAGCUUCAUGUCGGAUCCCUAGUAGUAACGUUUGUUUGCAUCAUGUGCAUUUGACUUAGGGGAUUCAACACAGGGGUUAGGUCCGUCUAGGACAGGUGUGCCCAAAAUAACAGACCAUCCUGAUGCAUUCUAUGUGCUAUGUGAACAUUUAUUUGUUUUGGCUUGCAUGUUGACCGGCUAGGGAAAAUAAAGCAAAUAAAAACCAAGAGUGAUGUAGGGAAGGAAAUAAAGCCUGGUUCUAAAGAAAAACCCUGGUAUCUGAGAACAUCCUGAAAUUCUGCUAUUUCAAAAGAGUCAAACACUGUGUCCUUUUCAAAUGUGUCAAAGCUGACCGAACUACGCAGGUCUGAUUCUAAUUGGACAUGGGGUGCGUAGGUAACCCGCAUAGGGUUCGGCCUCAUUUUUACAAAUAUUAAAUAAAAGGUGUUGCAGGGUUUUAGUAAAAAUAAUAAGCUGACCCAGCUUCGGUUGUAUUUAAGUCGUUUCUUACUGGAAUAGCCUUAGAUUACAUUUCAAUUGUCGAACGGCUAUUUUUAGGAGGAAUAAGCAAAAAGUGCUUUUUCCAAUAAAAUACUUACCCCCUCCCCCGGCCUCAAAAUUCGUUUGGAAUUGUGAAGGGGCCACAUUAGCAAAAAUGACCAUUUUGCUAACAUAGCAGUAAAAGGGGUCUUUGUUCGUUGAUCUUUUUAGAAGAUUUGUUUUGAGUCCACAAGAGUUAACCCUAAACUUAACCCUCUACAGGUACAAAUGAAUACCAUACAGGAAUUAUCACAAACCGUCAUAGAAAGGGCUCGGAUGCAGCUACAUAGGUGGUGGGGUGAUUUAGAUGAAGAUGGCCAAAUUUGGGUAAAAGAGCAAUUGGGUCCCUUGGUAGACAUCAUGCACAUCAAGCCACGGGAGGAUUUGAUUAAGGCUUUGGUAACCUUUUGGGAUCCCGUUCACAAUGUGUUCCGUUUCUCAGAUUUUGAGCUUACAACCACCCUGGAAUAAAUAACUGGGUAUAUUGAUUUUGGCCAAGAGUUAAGAAAGCAGCAGCUUAUAUUCCCCAGGGCUCCCUUAGUGCACAAAUUCUUCGAUCUUUUGAAAAUUAGCAAACAAAUGAGCAAGGACCGUGCGGGCAAAGGGAGUUGUGCAUUCUACUUCUUGUAUUUUAGGUUUGGACACUCAGGCGGGUUUGAAACACAUAAGAAGGGGCUGAAUAACAAACAGGACAAGAGCAUAUGGCAAAUUCACAGACGAUUUGCUUUCAUCGUGGCAUUUCUGGGAAUCAUGGUAUUUUCGAAUUCUGAGGGUACAAUAGACCUUUGUAUGGCCAGAAUCGCUCAGGUCCUCGUCGACAAAAAAGAUCACACACUUGUCCUAUUGGUGCUGGCAGACAUUUACCGGGCAUUAACAUUGUGCAAAUUUGGGGGUCAAUUUUUCGAAGGCUGUAGUAUUCUUCUUCAGAUGUGGAUGAUCGAACACCUUCGCCGUCAUCCUAAGUUCAUGAGAUAUGCCUCAGACGGGAACAAUUUCAUCAAAAAAUACGAGGAAAAGGUGGAAGAUUACAUCCCACCGGAAGGGUUUGAAGCAUGGGUUUCCUAUUUGAGAAAAUUGAGAGCAGAUCUGAUUGAAGGGACCAUAGGAUGACUCCCAAUAACAGAAAUCAUUUAUAUGACCGCUUCGAAGGGCUACUUGAUGAUAUUGGGAGCGAGAAGUAUACAACCAUAUGCACCACAAAGAGUUCUGAGACAACUGGAAAGAUAUCAGGUGAUACCCGAAGAGGCAGACCUAAGCAUUCAAGUCAUCUAACUACACCUAGAAGCAAUGAUACCUGAGGCUUUAGUACAAAGAGAUUGGAAUUGUUGUCGGUAUUUAAAAAGUAACACCCAAGUACCACACCCAGCUAAGGGCGAAGUUGAUCCCAAUUAUGCCGCUUGGUUUGAAAAGAGUUUUCCUGUGUACAAUGAGCCCGAGCCCGAACCUGCGAGGCCCGUCAAAAGGCCCCAUGUUCAAGCUUUUGAUGAUAAAAUUUAGGAGAGGUUGGCCUGGAGGGAAAAGGAAAAGGAAUAUUAGGCCACCAUCCAUGAUCUGCGAGAAGAGUUGAGAAAUGUCACCUUCAAUAAUGAUUUACAGUCACAAGAGGCUGAGGGUGAGAGGAGAAGAUUGGUUUGAGAAAAUGAAGCUCUUAGGGCCCAGGUUCAACAGCAGAAAAUAGUAGCCGAGAAUCCGGGCCGAAGCAGGAAAGAUGAAAGGCUCAUUUAUAACCUUACUGAAAAGGUGCGUAACUACGAAGAUGACCUGCAGAAAGCCGAGUUUGAACUAGAAAAAGCACAAACGAGGUUGGCUAAAAGUGCCAAAAGGCAUGCAGCUUUCAUUCAAUAGACAAAAGAAAGAUAUGAAAGAAGGGUCACAAGUUGGGAAAAGGCGAUUGGCAACCUCGAAGGUGAAAUGGCUAAACAAGCCAAAAAUUUUAAGGUUGAGAGAGAACAUUGUUACGCCUUAGUGUCACGGUUGGAAGAGAACCUACAACACUUGCGAGAGCAAAAUCACGUUGCCACCUAGGUCUUAGAGGCUAGAUCCUGUCAUAUUAGCCGUCUGUUGCAAGAAAAGGGUAUCAUAAGAGAGAGAGUUCAAAGGAUUGUUGACUACAUUACCAUGAAAUGCAGUGCGUGUGAGGACAUGACAAGAUCCAUGUUUUUCGCCACUGUGAUGAUCUUUGUUCGUCAGAUAAUGGAAGAACUCUAUUGGCUCCAAGAUGAAUUGGCAAGUAGGCCCGCUGCAAGACCAGUUGGUGUUCCUCGGGCAGGGUUAGAAGCACUGAUGUUUUCUUGAUUGUAUUUUCUUCCUUUUUCGAGUCUGUAUUUUCAUGUUUUGAGUCUAUUUUCAAUUCCUAGAAAAGGCAUGUCCUGAGUCUUAGAGUCCUAAAAAAGUAUAUUUUGAGUCUUUUGUAAUUCAGUAAGAUUGUAUUAAUGAAAAUUUGAAGAAAAAAAAACCACCAAAAAUUGUUCUUUCAGUUUUCACAUUUACUCCCAGAACUAUGCUUGGUCUGAUUCAUGCGGGGUCAUGAUACAUAGGCAAUCUCCAUAGGAUUCGACCGUAACCCUAAGAGAAAAGAGAAGAAAGGGAAAACAAGAGAGAAAAAUAAGAAAAUCAAGAGAAAGAAACAAUGGAAAAACAAGAGGGAACUGAGAGGAUAAAAACAAAGAGAAAGCAAAGGCCAGAAUGAAAAAGAGAAAAAAGGGGGAAAAGAGAAAUUGCAAAUGGAAAUAAGGAAAAGACGAGAUGACGCAAGCAGUCGAUCAAAUGCAUAAUAGAAACGGUUAAUUGCUUAGGUGCAUUCAUUCCCCAAAAUGUGUGGUUACCAAUAUGUUAAAGCCCUAAUUACUAACAAGGUUGUUGUUGAUGUAUUGGGUCCAGUCAGGUGGUUAGUUGAUUGGCAUUCUGGCAACUCACUCCUACAACACCCGAUCAAAAGACAAGCUGAACAUGGCCAACCAAGAACUGGAGGCAAGUAUUGUUGAUCCGUCAAAAGAGGUGGAGGAAUUGGAUGUUAAUGCGAUGAAGUAAGAGAUGUAUAAGUUAAAGUAGCAAAUGGCUGAAAUGUUCCAGGCUUGGACGAAGGGGCAUCCACCAUCGGUUUAUCCCGCCAACCCUGCUUAUAUCCUACCAUUGGACCAACCUCAGGAGCCUCCCACUGUGAACUCGUCUCCGGACUUUCCCCUCUACCAACAAUGCUACGGUACCACUUCUCAUACUUCUCAAGCUCCAUCACCCAAACAAGUCCCAUACCCUCCUCCACCAGUCACUCCCGUCUUUGUGGCACCUCCACCUGCUGUAUUACAACGAUCUUCCAGCGAGCCUUUGUUCCAGACUCAUGACAACCAGUAUUACCCCCCGAUCCCACCUUCAAAGUUCCAGAACCAUAUUCUUACACCCCUCAUCUUGAUCUCCCGGUAGAGACCGAGAAGUCACCCAAAAAUCUCGAACAUGAGGAGAUGAUCAGAAAGGUCAAAAACUUAGAAUAAUUGUUCAGAGAUAUGAGGGGGGUUGGGAGGUCAAGUAAGUGUGGCCUAUAAGGAUUUAUGUCUGUUCCCAGAUGUUCAGUUACCAGCAGGGUUCAAGAUGCCCAAGUUUGAUCUGUACGACGAGCAUGGUGACCCAUUAGCACACUUAAGAGGAUUUUGUAGCAUUUUGAGAGGAGAAGGCGGAAGAGAUGAAUUAUUGAUGGCAUAUUUCAGCCAAAGUCUGAGUGGAUUGGCAUUGGAAUGGUAUACCAGACAAGAUCACACCAGGUGGUACACAUGGGACGAUUUGGCCCAAGCCUUCGCCUACCAUUUUUAGUACAAUCUUGAAAUUAUCCCAGACCAUUUGUCAUUGACGAAGAUUGAGAAAAAGCCCGGUGAGAGUUUCAGGGAAUAUGGAUUCCGUUAGAGGGAGCAAGCCGCGAGGGUUGACCUCCAAUGAAAGAAAGUGAGAUGGUUGAUUAUUUCUUGCAGGCCUUGGAGCCCACUUAUUUUGAUCAUUUGGUGUCAGCAGUGGGCAAGUCCUUUAAUGAGGUUGUAAAAAUGGGGGGCAUAGUAGAAGAGGGACUCAAGUCCAAUAAAAUCAUGAGCUACUCAGCAAUUAAAGCAACUACCCAGGCCAUUCAAAACGGUACUGGGGUUGUGCUUGGGAAAAAGAAGAAAGAGGAUGUUGCGACAGUUUAGUCAGGAGCUUGAGUCGGAUCCAGGGGACCUUCCCGUUACUACAACUAGCCUCGACCCUAUCACCAAACUUACCCCCACACUCUAUAUAGCCCACCACAACACUAUUACCCACCACCAGAUCCCCAUUUUUCCGUCCAUUAUGCACAAACAUACCCUCAAUAUCUUGCCCACGCGCAAUGGCGUGCGCCAACUCCACAUAAUCCAUACCCAGCUCCACAAAAUACCUAUCCGCCCCCAAUGGCCUACCAAAAUCCCCCUGGAACACGUUUCAAGCCCAAUCAUGCCACCAAGAAUGAGAGGUUGCAGAAGAAGAAGACUUUCACUCCAUUGGGAGAAUCUUAUACCAGUCUAUUCCACAAGUUGAGACAGUUGGGCAUGUUGAAUCUGAUUGAGCCAAAACUGCCAAAUCCUCCCCCGAGGAAUCUUGAUCACUCGGUAAGUUGCGAAUAUUGUUCAGGUGCUCCGGGGCAUGACACAGAGAGAUGCUGGCAUUUGAAGACAUCUAUUCAAGAGCUCAUCGAUACAAAUCGGAUCAAGGUUCAAGCCCUAGAGGCGCCUAAUAUCAAUCAGAAUCUGUUGCCGGCCCAUUAUAAGACCCAUAUGAUCGAGUUGAUACACAAAGGAGGGGAGCCUAAGAAACCCUCGCAGAUGGUAAUGAUGAUUCGUUCUAGCAAAGUCAAGCCAAGUGAAAAGUCAACCAGUGGAAAAUCAGUGAUCCAGUUGAAAGGGACAGAAAAUAAACCAUCUGUGGUAGUCGAGAAGGGGUCGUCAAGUAUUGUCGCAGUGAAACCAGAGAAAGCUAAAGUGGUGGUACCAAGGGUAGCGAGUAAACCUGUUGUAGUCGUGAAGGGUGAUCGUACAGAGCCUGUUAUUAUAAAUCCGGUAACUCAGCUGCUAGUAAUCAACAACAAGGUUGUUCCUUGGAAUUAUGAACAAGUGAUAGUGAAGUAUAAAGGGAAAGAAGUUAGAGAAGAAGUUUGUGAAGCUCAUGGUCUGACUCGUUCGGGGAGAUGCUUUGCCCCCGAAGAGUUAAGAAAAUCCAGAACCCCCAAGGAUAACCCGGUAUUGGUAAAGAAAUCUAUGACAGAAGAGGAGGAGAAAGAGUUUUUGAGGAAAAUGAAAGUGCAGGACUAUUCUAUUGAAGAGCAGUUGAGGAAAAUGCCUGCUCAGAUCUCAUUGCUCUCAUUACUGAUCCAUUCAGAUGAGCACCGUCGAGCGCUGAUAAAAAUCUUGAAUGAGGCCCAUGUUCCCGACAAGAUCUCGGUAAACCACUUGGAGAAGAUAGCAAACCAAAUAUUUGAGGUGAAUAGAGUUACUUUCUCCGAUGAUGAGUUACCCGUAGAGGGUACCAAGCAUAAUAGUGCCCUGUAUUUGACGGUGAAGUGCGAAAAUUCUAUGGUCACUCGAGUUCUGGUCGACAAUGGGUCUAGUGCGAACAUUUGUCCUCUCUCCACAUUGAACAAGCUAAAAGUGGAUGAUGAUAGAAUUCACAGGAAUAGCAUUUGUGUUCGGGGGUUCGACGGCGGGGGCAAAGAUUCAGUGGGUGAUAUAAUAUUAGAGUUGACGAUAGGGCCCGUUGAGUUCACUAUGGAAUUUCAAGUGUUGUAUGUGGUGGUCUCUUAUAAUCUUUUGCUGGGGAGACCUUGGACUCAUGCCGCUAAGGUAGUGCCAUCUACCUUGCACCAGAUGGUUAAAUUUGAAUGGGACAGACAAUAAAUUGUGGUGCAUGGUGAGGAUAAUAUGUGUGCCUAGAGUGAUGCCAUCACGCCUUUCAUUGAAGUUGAAGACGACAAGGGGCCAUGAGUGUAUUAGGUCUUUGACACAGUAUCAGUUGAGAAGGUCCCAGAGGGGAAAAACAUUCUGGUUCCUACAGUGGCGGCCGCAUCAGUCAUGGUGGCUUUUGAGAUAUUGAAGAAUGGUUUUGUACCUGGCAAAGGUUUGGGUGCUUCUCUGCAAUGCAUCAUACAGCCAGUGUCUCUGCCCAAAAACUUAUAUACCUUUGGUCUGGGGUUUAAGCCUACGGCUGUAGAUGUGAGACGAACCCGGAAAAUAAAGAAGAGGGCAUGGGCCCUUCCAAAGCCCGUCCCGCGUCUGCCUAGGUCAUUUGUCAAGCCUAAUGCUAGAAAGCGCCCAAUAGAAACGGUUCCCGGUUCAUUGAUUGAUGUUGAUGGAGAUUUGGAUAAGGAGUUCGAGAGGUUUUUAGUGAUGUUAACAUGGUGGAAACUAGAGAGGGUUCUAGCAAGGUGGAUGUGCAAUUUGUUGGGCCCAGUGCAAAGAUUAACAAUUGGGAAGCUACUCCUCUCCCCACAAGGAAGGAGUUUUGGUAAUUUGCUAGGUUGUGUCGAAUAGUAUGGGUUUUAUCUCUUCUACUGGGUGAUUCUAGGUUUUGAGGUGAUAUUCAGCAUUUUUCUUUUUCCGACAGGAGAAAUGUGUAGUUUAUCGCAUUAAGGUUUGAGCCAUGCAUAGAGUUACUUUGGUUAUUUGUAAAUGUGUGGAACAUGAAUCUAUGGUUUAAAUUCAGAUCCAUUUACUUGACUGUGUUGAUAUGAUCUGUUCAUGCAUGUAUAAAAACAAGCUUAAUUGAAUGUUAAGAUCUCUUUUAAAUUUGCCUAUCGAGAUAGUUUGAGAUUGAUUGUGGUGCAUUUGAUGUAAUGUUGGAAGCUUUGUUCGGGUUAACACCCACAAUGCUUCUGAUUCUUUUGUUGCGUGCUCGGGAACUCGAAUUCAAGUCCCACGCCCUUUUGGAUGUUCAGUUCUAAAAGAUUUGGGCUUUACAUUAAGUUCGAAUUUGAAGCAAGAUGUAGACUUUGGAAUUUGGGCCCAAUUCUCCGAGCCCAGCAUUUCUCUCUAAAAUACCAUUAAGAUAAGUUCACACACUCGUUUGCCUCUGAUGUUAAUUCCAUUAAUUUUAAAUUAGUUAGGACAUUUAGCCCUAAAAGAGAACUAAUAAUGAGAAUUCUCUUAAGUUUCCUUAAUUAAUUAGCUGGGCUAUUUUGGGAGUAUCACGUUAAAUAGGAUUAGUAACGGCCUUCAAAGUUUAGCUUUGAAUUUCCUUAAAACUAGAAUCGAGGUAUGCCGUGCCAAAUAAAACCUCAAAAUGCACGGCCCUCUUUUAAUUAAUGUUUUUUUGUAUCUUUGGAAAUCGAGGCGUGCCAUUUAGUGAAUUUUACAGGGCCCUCGUAUCAAUUUCAUAAUUUAGAUAUAACAAAUAACAAAUGUUCGCGGUAUUCUUUAGGCACGUUUGAUACACUAUCGUGGUUUUGGACACAUUUGCAUGACAUAAUUACGAUUUCUAAAAACAAAAUCGGAGUAUGCGAUCGCGCAACUUCGACUAGACUUUCUUAAAAAUAAUAAUGCGUUAUUAAUUAUGGACACGUUCACGUGACAUGAUUUUUGACACGCCAAACAAAUGGGUACACGUACGCGUGACUCGUUUCAGGAUAAUUUCUUAAAUAAAAGCGAUUAAGAGAUAAAUGCAUAGGUUCUAAAAUCAGUAAUUUUAAUAAGCCAAGUAUGAUCAAAGCGACCGUGCUAGAACCACGGAACUUGGGAGUGCCUAACACCUUCUCCCGGGUUAACAGAAUUCCUUACCCGGAUUUCUGUGCUCGUAGACGGUGAAUAGAGUCAAAUUUCCUCGAUUCGAAAUUUGAAACCGGUGACUUGGGACACCAUAAAUUAUCCCAAGUGGAGACUCUGAUUUAAUAUAAAUAAGCCUGUUUCGAUUGUCACUUAAAUUGGAAAAACUCCCUUAUACCCUUUACAGGGUGUAGGUAAAUUCAUCUUCACCGCUCUCUGAGCAACUAGCUGAAUCCUCAUCAGAAGUAAGCAAUGCCGUCGAUUCUUCCUCUAAGGCCUUCGUCUCUCGAUCUCAACAGAUAAGUCGAAACCCUUUGCAUAUAUCUCCUCGAGAGCCUGCCUUCGAGAUUCCCACCGAGCAUGGUCAGGGGCUCGAGCUAGUUUGAGUUUGGCCUCAGCAUAUGCUGUCUUAGCCCGAGUAUUUGCAGUGGCAACAUCAUCCCAAUACGAAGAUAUGAGCUAAUCGAUCUCAGACUUAAUCUGGGACAACUCAGCAACCAAUUCAGCGUGGAGAUCUUUGUACUUACGGCUUUCUUCCCUUGCCCCUUGGAGUUGAUGCUCAACCGAAAUCAGCUUCUCUCGAAGAAUUUCUUUAUCGGAGGCCACUUCAUCCAUGCGCUGCUUCAGCCCAAGGAUUUCAAUAUCUCUGACUUUAAGCUCCUCUCGCAUUAGGUCAUCUUUUUGCUUAAGCUGAAAGAAUCAAAUUAAGACAUUAAAACGCUCAAUUGACUAAAGCACAAAGGUAAGCCAACGAAGGUCAUAUUACAUGCUCAUCGAGAUUGGCCCACUUUCGAGGCAUCCUCUCCAAAUGUGCUUGAAAGUCAUCUAGCUCCCCCUCCCUAUUGGCAUAAAGGGCCUUAAGCCCGUUCAACUCAGAGGUGAACUUCCUAUACUCAUCCUCACAGUGAGCCAACGCAUCUUGUGACUUGGAAAAAACUUGGUUCAUUAGCAUAAAGGCCUAAAAACGCAAAGGAAAGGAGUCAAAAAAGCAAGAAUCGAAACUCAAAAUAUAGUAGUCAAGUCAAGAUUACCUAUUUUCAAAGCUUCUCAGCUUCUUCAAUAAUCAAUAAGGCAUCGAUAUCGGGGUCUUCCUCAACCCCGACAAAAUAUCCUUCAAACAUAUCAUUCUCUCCGAGGGAUGCCCCCAUACCGGGAGUUUCUAUAUCUUGGGCAUCCCGUAUUUGCCCGGGGAGAAUGAUGUGCCUGGUGGAGACUCAUCUACAUUGAUCACCUCGAGUGGUUCAACUAGGGCCCUCUCCCUUCUUCGAUGGGCUUUGUUAUGGGUUUCUUCGGGUUCAUUAACUAAGUUCCUUUCAGCACCCGAUGUGUUUUGGCCAUUGGUCGGCCUGGGGACUUCGUUUGAGCCCCUCUCAAAAAUUCCCUUAGCUCGAGUCGGGACCACCUAGGCGAUCUCUGUUCCAGCUACAUCCGGCUCAGCCACCUUCGGCUUAGUAGACUUCGAAGUAAUAGCGCUUCUUAUUCCCCUAAAUACUAGUGGGUAGUCAUCAUUAUCUUCACCCUCGGCACGAGAACGUUUGGCUGCUUCCCGAGUUAAGGUCACUGGAUCGGCCUCGGGCUUUUGAACCUUAGCCUUCUUCGGCUUUGGGGACUCAGCUGGUGAUUUCUUCUUUCUCUUUUUCUCCUUAGCAGGCUUCGAGGUAUAUGUUUCCAUAGGUAGGGGUUACCUUAUCAAAACGGCCUCUCCGAGGCCUGCAGAAGCACAAAGGGUGAGAGUACUAUCAAGAGAUAUCUUCUCUAAGGAGCUUGAGUAUGACAGAAAUAAAAACUCACCAUGGGUUUUGGCCUCCCAACGGGUCUUGACCAGAUCACGCCACACACACUUCACAUAUGGGUAGGUCGAAUCAAGUUGUCAUACCCAGCUCGGGAGAUCCUUGACAGCACCAGGGUACCACUAGACAGCUGCAUCAUCAAAGGGAGUUAAUUCUAAGGCAAGAAAAGAUAUCCCAUUAGCAAAACAUAUUUACCUACGUUUCAUAUUCCAUUCCUCGGGGAAUGCUAUUUUCACAUUGGGGAUCAGGUUCGAGGUCCUGACUUGGACAAAGAGGCUCAUCCACCCUCGAUCCUUGUCCUCGUCAAUGCUAGCAAAAAGUCCUUCGGGGAUCGACGUUUUAACUUAAUUAGGCCACCUCGAUAAAGUCGGGGGCUAUACAGUCUAAUAAGAUGAUCAAGGGUAAAAGGUAUCCCAUCAACCAUGUAAGAGAAAUACCUAAUUAGAUAAACGAUGCGCUAGAAUGAUGGAUAGAUUUGUCUAACCGUCACCCGAUAUUGUCUGCAGAAAUCGAGGAUCACUGGGUCUAUUGGUGGCGAAGAAGCUUCUACCAGUCCUAAGAAGAAAGGAUAUGUGUAUACACUAAGGAAACUGGCUUUGUGUUUGGUUAUGUCUUCUUCACGUGAAGGAAUCUCUACUUGCACCGCUUCCCCCAUACGGCAGUCAACCUUUACUUUCUCAGUUUCAGUUAUUAGGCUAAUGUAUCGAGACAUAGGUUCGCAUCGUCCUGGAACAGAGGAAGGUUUUUUGACCUGGAAAUCAGAAGAUGUUUCACAAGGCCCGGGAAUACACUCCUUAAUACGAGGUGGUACUACCAUUUUGCUCUUAGACGAGCAUGAUGACGAAGGGCUUUCUCUUUUUGGGGAACAAUUUUAGAGGUUUUUGCCAUUCGUGCUGUAAAAUCUCAGAAGGAGAAGAAGAAAUCGGUUGAGAGAUGAACACAAGGAAGAAGUGAGCGUAUAAACAUAGUUGCUACAGAUCUAAAGAUGUUGUGAAAGGUAAAGGUUUAAGGAACGAAGGAUUGAGGUAUUUAUAGGGAUAAGUCAUAUGUGUUGAAUAAGGUAAAAGGACGGCCAACCACCGUUUUUCGAUUUAAAGCUUUUCGAGAAACGUACAGGCGUGACUUUUGCACAUCGUUUCUGUCACAUCAAUUACUGACCUCACGUGACUGACAUCAUGAUGGGGACAUCGAAGAGUCAAAUAAUUCAAAUCGUUUUUUAUCAUUUCAUUCUAAGAAACACGGGGACUAACUGUAUGCGGUCGAUACUGGGGGGCCCGAUAUCAAGGACUCUAUGGCAUGUCAAGCCCAAUAUCAAGGGGCUCGGAGUAAAAACUCAAGUUCGACCCCAAAAUGCAUACCUCGAGAAAGGAUGUUGAAGGCUCAUCGCGGCCUACCUCGAGGCAGUAUAAAAUUAAUAACCUUCAUGGAAAGGCGAGAAAACUCCCCAGGACACGUGGUUAGAGCUGAUAAGGUCUGCAAAGAUAGUACAAGCUCGUACAAGGCUGUUACACAGUUGUACCAAUAGCAUUUCUUUGUCAUGAUUAUACUUAUACUAUGUUGGAAUUCACCCCUCCUAUAUAAAGGGGACCCAAGCAUUCUUGUAGGAGGUUAAAACAUUUUUUACCAUGAUAGAAUAUUUUCUGCGUUUCUCACGCUCAAUACUGUCUUUCAGUUUUAUUAUUUUUCAUUCAUUAUUCUUCAUUUAUUGUUCUUAAUUUAUUGUUAUUAUCGGACCCGAGGUCCCUGAUUCCAUUAAGCUCGAGAUCCUAGUCCUUCAUCAACAUCGGUUUGCAUAUCUUAUUCUCUUUACUUACACUUAGCAUCUAUUGCCUCAAAUGGGAUCUAUAGUUGUUUAUAUUUUAGAGUAAUUUUUAAGCUUCUUUCAGCCAAACCUAAUGAGCUUUUCUUAACACUUUUUGGCAGACGAUAUUUCGGUCUCUAAAAUUUAUUGUGUUAACCUAACUUUGACCGGUAACCAUAAUUAACGGAUCUUAAAGAGUGCCUAACAUCUUCUCUUUAGGAUAAUUAGAGCCUUUACCUAGAAUUUCUAAGGUUAUGUAGACCAUAAAAUGGAGUUAACUUUAAGCAUUAAUGACUUAGCUAAAAUUGUUGUCCUAAUUCACCAUUAAAAUAAUUAGGUGACGACUCUUAAAAUUAAUUAAACCUUAAAAUUACCAAUAUGUUAUACUCUAAUUUGAUCUGUGUUAAUAUGGGGUAUAACAGCUUGGCGAUUCUGCUGAGGAAGUGUAAGUUUUAAACCAUAACAAACUUAGGUUAAUAAAAACAACUUCUUCUUUUUAUGAAUGUUUCUCUUUGUUUAGUCUUAUGUGAUAAUGUGCUACCUCUUAUAUAUUGUAAAUUCUUAUCUUUUAUAAACUGUCAUUUCAUUUUCACUUCCUCCACUUUUGGAAAACUCACACUAUGCACACACCUAGGCGUUACGUGGUUUGCAACCAUGCACUUUUAAAAAAAAAUGCUUUUUACAGAAAAGUUCUGGGUAAGUCGAUCAGUGGUGCAGUCGACAGUCACGAGGUUUUCACUCUCAAGUUGCCCGCUUGAGAGAAAACCAAUCUAGAAAAAGUUACUCUUAGUCAACCUAGGAUAGAGCUAAACCAAAACCCUUCUUAGGACAUGCAUCACGCAAACUUAGGAAGCUUAAUACCCUAGGCGUAUUAAGUCCAUUAGGUAGCCUUAUCCAAAUGCCCAAGUGGGUUUAUAAUUCCGAGUGAUGCAUUCAUGUCCUGUGUGCAUUGUUUGAAUAAUAAACACGUUGAUUAUGUAGACCAUUUACUCCUUAAGAGGGAAUGGAAUGACAUAUAAUAGUGUGUUUAUAUUUUAAAUUUUCACUAGGCCUACCUCUGGCACAAAGAGGUCCCAUGCAUACUAGACAUGCUAUCAAUAUGUGAUUUGUUCGUAUAUGACAUACUUGCUAUGUGAUAUAUUUUUUUUUAAAGUUUAAGAACCAUUUACUAAUGUUGUCUUUUAUUUUCUUUACAAAAGGUUUUUAUUUUAUUACUCCCCAAGGUUGAUUUGUGUUGACUACUAAACUGGCUGACCACCCCUACUUCACGAGGUCAAAAAUGUCAGCAUCACCUCGGCAUAGUUGGGCCAUCCAAGGAAGAAGAACUACUAUGUCUGAUCCCUCUGCAUCUGAUCCAACUGGUUUGGAAAAUGUUGUGAAUCCAAAUAACCCUUUUGAGACUUCUAAAGAUACAACUAUUACUCAACAUGAUGAACAUUUUGCCCGUUUGAAACAAGAGAUUGAGGAUCUACGAGGAGAACUGAAUCGAAUGAAGGACUUGACCAAUUUGGCUAUCACAUUUCAUAGUCCAUUUUGUGGACCCAGAAAUACCGUUCCAAACCCACCUAGCUUUCCAUCCCUUGAUUCACCAGUUCUAGAACACUUUCCCCCACAAGAUCCUCUACCUACCAACAAAAAUUUACAAAUAGUCACUCCAGCGAAUCCACAAAGACCACCACCUAUCAACACUCCUAAAGUACCUCCCCAAACCCACCACCCGUGAAUCCACAAGUCAUCCAUUUUCUUUUAAACUAACAAAUUCAUUCUUUGAGUGAACACGAGCAUACUUUCAUAGGUCAAUUUGAGGCUCAACAUCAACUAUAUGUUUCAGACAAUGCCAAAGCCAAUCUUCGACUCAACAUGAAUCAAUACCCCUUGCUAAACUAAAAAAUUUCUUUAGACGUAGGAGCAACCAAAGCCACAAGAUGAUGAUGUUGAAUCAAGCGUCAAAUCUACUAAUCAUGAACGAAGCGUCAUUAGGCCCGCCACGGCCUCGCCUUAAUAAGACAGACAUCUUAAUCUCUCCUUUUAUUCUUGAAUUUAAUCCUCUUACUUUAUCAUGACUUUAUAUCUUUAUUAACAUCUUUACAUAAUUAUUUGUAGGUGACAUUUUGCUAAAAUAUUGCAGGAGUUAGCAAUUAAGUCUACUGACCACGAAGCACCAUGCGGCCUACCAUGACCUAAUCAUCAUGCCAAAUGGCUUCAUACCUUACUUUAUCCUUCACUAUACCCUUUAAAUUUAUUAUAACUUUAUGUUUCAACUAAUAACUUUAGCCUGAAUUUUGCAGGAACGAAGUCAUUCAACAUCAAAGUGUCAUUCAGCCUGAUGAUGCAUCACAUCAUUAGCCGAGCGGCUUUCCUCUUACUUUACUCUCCACUUUACCUAUUGUUUUAUCACUUAAUUUAUAUACUUUAACAACUAUAACUUAAAUUUUACAUGAAUCAUUUUUCAAGUCCAUUGAUUGAGAUUGAAGGCGUCAGUCGAAGCCUAACUUCACAAGCUAAACGGCUACUUUCUUACCUUACUCUCUACUUUGUCAUUUACUUUAUAUUAACUUUAUGACUAUAAUAACUAUACGCUGAACUUUAAAUGAAAAUUUAUUCAAGACUACAAGCAUCGACAUCAAAUUCGUCGUUCAAAGACCGAUGACUACAUCAUCAUAAGACAAACAACUUCAUUCUUACUUUAUUAUUCACACUAUCACUACUUUAUCAUGCACUUUUAACUUUAUGACUUUAUCCUAAACUUUACAGGAAUAAUCAUCAAGUUUUCAGAGACAAAUGGAAGCAUCAUUCAACAUCAAUCUUCAAAGACAACCGGAGUAUCAUUUGGACGACAUCAUCUUCAUAAGCCAAACGGCUUCAUUCAUACUUUAUCAUUGACUUUACCUUACUUUAUUAUUAUUUUACGACUUCAUGACUUUAUCUUGAACUUUACAUGCAACUUUAACCGCGACUUUACAUUCAUCAUACAAUCUCCGAAGACAAUCGGAGGCAUCAUUAACAUCAAUCUACCAACCACAAUUGGAGGGACAUUUAGGCCCGUCCGCAUUCAAUAGAAAAUUUAGGCUUAUCCUCCUUUAAUAGGAUAUUUAGGCUCGUCCACCUUCAACGAGACAUUUAGGCUUGUCCGCUUUCAAUAGAACAUUUAGGCUCGUCUGCCUUUAAUAGGACAUUUAGGCUCGUCUACCUUCAAUUGGACAUUUAAGAUGGUCCGCCUUUAAUAGGACAUUUAAGGCUCAUCUGCCUUCAAUAGGAUAUUAGGCUCGUCCGCCUUCAAUAGGACAUUUAGGCCCGUCCGCCUUAAAUAGGACAUUUAGGCUUAUUCGCCUUUAAUAGGACAUUUAGGCUUAUUCGCCUUUAAUAGGAUAUUUGGAUUUGUCCGCCCUUAAAUAGGACAUACUGAGUUCGUCUGCCCUUGAAUAGGACCUAUUGGCUCGUCUACCCUCUAAUUGGACAUAUCUGGCAACUUUACCCAAGAUUUUACAAGCAUACUCUAUCAUCAAGUCCCCGAACACAACCGGAGGUAUCAUUCGUCAUCAAAACUCCAAAGACAAUCGGAGACAUCAUUCAUCAUCAAAUCUUCAAAGACAAACGGAGGCAUCAAUCAUCAUCAAGUCCCCGAAGAAAAUUGGAAACAUCAUUUAGCCACAUGGCUCCAUCAUCAUAAGCCAUAUAGCUUCAUUACUAGUUUAGCAUUGAUUUCACCCAUUACUUUUGUUAUGACUUUACGACUUUAUGACUUUACCCUGAACUUUACAGACAAUUUUAUUCAAGAAUUUAGAAGCACCAAUGUCAAGCAACUUUAUCUAAGACCUUACAAGCAACUUCAUACAAGACUUUACAGACAUUAUAUCAAGGUCAUUUGUUCAACAAUCAGAGGCAGCAUCACUGCCUUCAUGGUCUCAUCCUCAUUCUCAUAAUCAUAUUCAUUAUCAUUUUAUUCUCUUUAUAAUUUUGCACCUGUGACGUUAUACUAAACUUAAAUAAUGAUUUUAUUACGAACUUUUAGAUGCAUAUUUGCCUGAAACUCUAAAAGAUACAUUUUUUUAGCAAAACACUAUUAACAUUCUUUUUUGAAAUCACAUAUGUCAAUUUCAGCUCGUCACAACUUCACAAUCGUUUACAUAGCCAAACGGCUUCACUCUUGUUUCAUUUUAUUCUUUAUUUGCUUAUCACUUUAUCCUACUUUAUUUUCUUAUUACUUUAUCUCACUUUAUGUGCUAACUAUUUUAUUUUAGAUUUGACAGAAAAUACAAUUUGAAUAUGCUGAUUACAACAACAGGAGAUACACAACACAAUGUGCAAAUUCCUCUCAGCAGUAUUAUGGAAUAAGUUUAGCAUGUAAAUAUCUAUUGUCUAUUCUUAUUUAAGUAUCGAUAGAGGUUUUUAACAUGAUAUGCACAUAGAAAUUACAAAAGGGUUCUAGCCUACCGACAUUUUGAACAAGAAAAUACAUAUACUUUCUAAUAAAAAGACAGUCAUAGCACAAGUUUUCUAAUAUGUACACAACAAAAAAAAUUGUCUGACUCAUGAUUUUCAAUGAACCAAAAAACACAGAAUGACGACUUGAAUUAAAUGGUAUCAAGAAACCGUGCUGAAUGUCCAUAUAUAAACCAUACAAAAUGAAAGGAAAACACGUACUGGAUCAAAAAUGAAAAAGCGAAAUCACUGACCUUUUACGGGGUAGUGAACUCAGUCCUUCGAUCUGCUAUCAAACUCUAACCUCGACCUUGCUACCUCAAGCUACGUUCGAGUAGCAAAAUUGCUUCUGAUUUGGUUAGAAAACCAACAGAAACAGAGAGAAUACAAGAAGGGAAGAACCAAGUUUUAAGAAUGAUUUUGAGGAGUGAAAAUGAUAGAAGAGCAGUAGAGUUAGGAUUUGAGGUAGCCAAGAACGUUCUCCCGGAAACUUUUUAAUGGCUGGUAUUUCUAAGGACAAGUUAGGGUUUAGACUUGGAAUUUGAGCGGAAUUUUGGUUCCAAUUUCAGUCAUAAACAUUUGAAUUUCAAACGUUACAAAUCUUCAAGGACACCUUUUGGCAGAGGGGAAAUCAGAAGAUAAAUAAAAAAGAGAUUUCACCUCUGGUUUUGAAUUACUAUGGUCAAAUUUGCCAAAAUUGGAGAUAGAGAUAAAGGAUGACUCGCAAAGAGAGAGAAAUAAAGAGAAAAGCAAGUGAAAAACCCUAGUCAAACU